rnacentral:rRNA from 1 species
AACGAACGCUGGCGGCGUGGAUAAAACAUGCAAGUCGAGCGCUAAUUUGAAGGUAGCAAUAUUUUCAAGUUGGAGCGGCGCAGGGGUGCGUAACACGUGGGUAAUUUGCCGUGAAGUUGGGGAUAACUUGCUGAAAGGCGAGCUAAUACCGAAUGUGACAUUUGGAAGGCAUCUUCUGAAUUUCAAAGUUGGGGACCGUAAGGCCUGACGCUUCAUGAUAAGCCCGCGGCCUAUCAGCUAGUUGGUGAGGUAACGGCUCACCAAGGCUAAAACGGGUAGCUGGUCUGAGAGGACAACCACCCACACUGGAACUGAGACACGGUCCAAACACCUACGGGUGGCAGCAGUCGAAAAUUUUUCUCAAUGGGCGAAAGCCUGAAGGAGCGACCCCGCGUGGGGGAUGAAUGGCUUCGGCCCGUAAACCCCUGUCAUUUGCGAACAAACCUUACGAUUUAAUAAAUCGUGAGCUGAUUGUAGCGAAAGAGGAAGGGACGGCUAACUCUGUG